rnacentral:rRNA from 1 species
GGGUACAUUUUUGUUGUGAGGAGUUUGACUAUGUAAUCAGUGUAAAGAUAGUAGGAUUGGUGGAUUGUUAGGUAGUAUCGUGUGGAUGUAGCGCAGGGGUUUUAUUGAAAAGUGCAUAUGUUAAUGAGUGUGUGUAGGGAAUCUCUAAUUCUAUGGGAGGUAUGAAAGUUUAUUUAUAUGUGAUAACUAAGUAAGAACGAGUAAGUCUCCUAUCGUAAGAAAAUGGUAGACGAAUUAAUGCUAUAGGGAGUUAUUCUAGAGUAUUAGACGAUUCUUUACAGGUAGUUGUACUGAUUGUGUUUAAUCUUGUAAGAUUAUGAGGAUAUAGUUUAAUUGUAACAUUGAUGAGAAUUGAUAUACAUUAUUUGUAGCAGAAAAAAGAUCUUUAGGAAGUCUAUGGUUUUAAACUGAUGAGAGUGGCUAAUAAGAACAAGUCCUGUUUCCGUGUAUUGGUGGAGUUACAAAAGUAAUAUAAUGGUCAGAAUUGAUGGUUAGAUAGCGAGGAGGAGGAGUAAACUUAUAAAAUGAUAUUAGUUAUGAUAGUAGUCUUCAACUACAUUACGUGAAGUCGUAAUCGCUAGCAAUUGCUGAUAAGCAUGCUGCGGUGAAUACGUUCCCGGGUCUUGUACACACCGCCCGUUACACCAUGGGAGUGGGUUUCACCAGAAGUAGGUAGCAUAACCUUCGGGAGGGUGCUUACCACGGUGAGAUUCAUCACUAGGGUGAAGUCGUAACAAGGUAACCGUAAAGGGCGAAUUCGGAGCCUGCUUUUGUGAAAGUGCUAAAAAAAGUAU